ensembl:lncRNA
GGGGGGUGGCUGAUUUCAUUGGAGAUCCCUUUGUUCCUGUGGCCUUCUGGGGGUGCAUCUCAGCAGGUUGCCUCUGAUCGGCUCUCUCAGGGACACAGCAUGUUACCUGGACUAAUUUAUAAAGGAAAUGAAAAGGAAAUGGACUUGUUAUAAUGAACACCAUUAAUUCACCUCUUCAGACUUCACUGUUUGAACAGAGAGUAUCAAACUACUCAAUUGUCAUUUGUCUAUUCCAUGCUUCACUGUUGCCUGUUGGAAAUGACUGGUGAGCACAUAUGCCUUGAAUGGCUGCGCAGCCACUAAUUAGCAUAUAUAUUGUUUGUCCUGGUACAAAUUUAUAGCAAACAGCAAUAUUUUACACUCCAGUAAAGUUAAUAAAUGAGGCUUUAGGCUAUAAAAAUUUCAUGUUCUUUUGUGCAAAGGUCAAUUAUAAAUAGUUAAGCACAUAUUCAUCCAAAACUCUGGGCUCUAGCACAGGAAGAAUAAAAUAUAUAUUGGUCAAUCCACGUGCCAGCUGGAUCAAUGCCUCUUGUGUUGCUGCUGAGACACCUCACUCCAAAUGGCCAUUCAGCUGUAGAAUGCUUUUGGCCAUGAGAUGAUGGAGGUCCCCUUGAAGCUUGGAGGAGGAAGAUGCUCUACAGUGCUGGAGGUGUGUUAGGAUCACACUGAGCCAGGCUAGGGGAGAAUUUAAUGAUCAAAGUUAUCUUCUAUGAGAAGAAGUUCUGGUGUUAGGAAGUCGGUUGCUUACACUCAACAGUGCCUCUGAUGCUAAGCACAAAAAACAGGGAGAAGCUCAAACUAAGGGACAUGAAUACCCUUCCAGACAGAAGGAAACCUGGACUUAAAAUUAUCUUUUAUUUGCAUUAUGGAAACACAGAGCUGCAUUGAGCUCAGCCUUAUAAAUAUUCAGAAGAGAAGUGGCCUGUAUCUUAAAGGGCAUCAUCUACAUAUGAGUGAUGAAGAGAGAGGUUCUGCGGUUAUGUGAGUUGUUACUAAUAUUAUUCCUUUAUAUUACACUUUCAACAUUAAGACUGCAUAUGUGAACACAGAUUAAGACAGACAUGUCUCCUCAGGACUGAGAACUUCUAAGGCAAGGAAUCAAUGAUGUGCAGAUGUAUCUUCUUCCAUUGCAGGUGGAGAGGAAACACAUGGGCAUUUCCUGCAACAGUCUUCUUGAGGUUGGAGGUAUUAAAUCACAAAUUUUCUUGAGGGAUCGUGCCAAAACUGGUCUGUGACAGUGCGACAAGGAAAUUCAAUCAGAGGACACUUGAGAUUAGAAAAAAAUGAGGGUAGAAUGCAAGAGUUUGGCUGCUGGAAAGAGGCACUGAACAGCAGCAUCUGAAGACUUGACACUGCAGGAGGUUAGGAAUGAAGAGGGCUGUAGCCCAGAUCACAGAGGAAGCGGUGUUAAACAAACUGUCAUCUAGCAUUUGUCAUCAGUGUUAACCUGGUAACCAGGCAACUGAGAGAGAUGUAAGAAGCUCACUGCAUCAUCCAGAGUGAAGGGAUGCAUUUGGAGGGGAUGAGAGAGCUUAAGAGCUCUGUGAUUCAUGGGAUCAGCAACUCAUCACCAGGGGUGGUUGGGCUGGCAACUCAGGACGCACACAAGAGACUUCAUAGGAUAGAUCAACAGCGAAGUAGGGAAAGGAUGGAAAUGAAGAGAAGAAAUCUGCACAAAUGGGAGCUGUAACAAAGAUCUGAAACUUCAGUUAUUGCUAUCACCAGGAACCUCUCUCUGAGCAAUUUCUGCAGUUGUACUAAAUGCAGUAUUUGCUUGGGUUUAAUACCCUCCCCCUCAAGGGCUGUGUGUCCCAUGCAUCUCCAUGAAGAUUUAUUUUCAUCUACAGGGCAUGUUCGUGCCAAGACGUCAGUCCUCCUCUGCCCAGGGACUGCAUCAAGCAUCAUCAGCUUUAACAGGGGAAGGAGAGCCACAGGACAGCAGUGAACUUCCAAACAGGGGCAGGUGGGGAUAUGGAGGAGUAAAGCUGCUGAGGACAGUUGACAACCAGCGACUUGCUUGUUUCUAUUGAGAGGACACCUCCUGGUUGAACUGGUUUCAUACUGGGAAUGGUUUGAAGGUCUUGUACAAGAAAGGUGAAGUUUGCCACAGAACAAAAAACUAUGUAGAGGAGAGAUGAAAUCAGGAAUGCUUGGCACAUGGAGAGACAUGAAAGGGGAGAUGCACAUACCCUGUGAAUUAGUUCCCCUGCAUUUUUUCUGCUAAACAUUAUGGGAACUCUGCUGAAGCAGGCAAUCCAGUAGAGAGUGGUAACAAGAUUGGAAAGAAGCAGCAGCCACCCAAGGUCAGCAGAAGCCUUUGGAUGCCAGUGCCAGGAUGGCUCAGCAAAGGUCACCACAAAUGGACAGAGAUGUCUUUUCUGCCAAAGGCUGUUUAGCAUGUGAAACAGGUGGGCUGGAGUCAUCAGGGGAGAUCCAAGGAUGCACCUGGCACCCAGUGAGGCGAGGGAUGCUGAUGUCUGCACUUGGUCAGAAGGAGACAAAGCUCAGCAAAGACAAUGCAGCUGUGUCUGUUGUGUUGGCUUUGCUUCAUUUACAGUGCCUGUUAAUUACACAAGGUCUGUUCAGGGAACAGCCCUCCUUCUGUCCUGCUUCUGUAUAUGCUGGUUUGGCUGUGUUUUCCUCCAGACCUCAGUCCCGGGAUUGGGAGGAACCUAUUAGCUGACUUUUUGCCUGAGAGGGGACCUAAGUCAUGCACAGGAUGUCCAAGGAGCUGGAUGCCACUCAGCUGGUCCUGCCCUUUCUCCUUUUUUCCUCUUUAUGUGUCCAGUGACCAGUUCUCAUUCUGCUUCUAGUUGUGUAAUACCCCUACUCUAAAUUGAGCUGUGAAACAACUUCAUUUUGUCUCAAUUCAUACAGGAAAAGAGGAAAAAGUAAUUUCAGAUAUAGCUGCUAGAAACCUGGAUUCUGCAUACUGUAUAUAGUUCCGGAUUUGCCUUUCAAAGGUUUGGAAUUACUAGUGCCAGAGGGAAAGCAAUUCAGAAGUUUAAGACACAGACCUUUGGUUAGUCCCUCUAACUCGAGAGGUUGUAUUUGUUAGACAGCAGUGUGCUGGUUACAAGCUCACUUAGAAAAUGUCUACACAGCUGUUUUCAGACUCCUGGGAUUUUAAAACAUUUAAAUAAAGUUUGCUGAAGGCUUUGAGUACAGCCUGGAUUUUGCUGUAUUGAGAGCAAAUGCUGCAUUCCCCCACCUGUGAACAGAACCCAGUCUGGAGAUGCUGUGCUUGAGCAAAACUGACAAACAUUGUAAAAGUACAUCUUCAUGUGGAAGUCAGCAGAAGUCCUGCCAGGCUGCAAUCCAAGCAAAAUGAGUGGAAAUCUGAUUGAAGAAAUCCAGGAGAAAUGGGUGUAGUUAUAUCUUGCAUUAUGAAGAGUUCUGGAUGAGGGUGGACACUAAUGGAGAAGAAAACCAUGGGAGCAUCCUUUAGUGAGACAAAGCCAUAGAUGAAAAAAGAAGAGCAGCAUCAAGGGAAUCAAUCUCUUGGGACGUCCUGUGGUCUGAAUGUACAUCUUGUAUUGCUGAGAUAGGAGCUGGGGAUGCGGUGUGUAAAGAUGUGAAUUUUACAAGGAAAAAGAAUCAUCCAGGAGACCUCUGGGAAAUCACAGAAUGUGUGUACACCUCAUGCACUGUUCUGCUUGGCCAGAUGAGCCACUGUUCUGCUCCAAUGCCUUGCACCGAGGGAAGUCACAUCCCAUGAGAGAGCUGACUCUUUUUGGAGCCAUCACCUCAUUUCCUAUGCUGUGUGAUGCCUUCAGCCUCAGCCAUGGGGAAUGUGAUGCGCACCAGUGUUGACAGACUGGCCGGAAGACUGAGGUGUGAGACAAACCCAUGAGCUUCACACAGCCCAGCCGGAUCUAGACCAGCACGUGUGCAUCUUUGAGACCUCGUGACUUCAGAUCCCCUUGGCACGUCCUGUCCUAAAUGGCUCGGAGCACUCUGCAAAACCAUCAAAGCUGAACUCCUUUUUCCCGUUUCGACAAGUCUGUGUUCUAGAUGAGAUGAAUGACAGGUAUUCAAAACCAGACUUAAUGGACUGGUGUUGUUCGUUAUUGAGCCAAAGCUGCUAAGAGGGAAGGGUCAGUGACAGGAUUGGUUUGGGGAGUAAAAGAGUCCUCCCUGUGCAGCGAG